UUGCCUUUAUGCUUAUCUACUCAUGAUCACAAAGUAGCAUCGCAUCCUUGUCCAAAGGAGCCUAAAGGGGUCCCAAAGCUUUCAAAGACAUCCACAGGCAGGAAGAAAGAAAAAGACAGUUUUUAUCAGAUGUCUUUUGCUCUCUCUUUUUUUAAAUCACAGAUUGAAAUAUUUUCUAGAAGCUCCUGACUUGCCCUCAGAUGUCACUGGACAGAAAAGGAUCUUAUAUAUACAUCUGAGUCCACACUGACAUUAUUUCCAUUGUGACUUGAUCAGAGAAGUUGUGAAGUUAAGCAGUCAUCUAGGAACAAAAGGAUCCAAAGUUUGCUACACACUUAAGAACAGGGCACAAGGGAAUUAAGGCCCUGGGAGCAGCUCUUUAGAAAAAGGUGAUUCUCAUUGGCUGAACUCAACAGCAAACCAAAAGGCAUGCAAGUUUAUUGAUACAAUCAAUAAAGUUCAGGUGAAGGGCACAGAGAAGGACUGGCUGCCCAGCUUGAGGGAGUGCAGUCAUCAGAUAGCCUCAAGGUGUCAGCUCCAUUAGGGUUUGUCUCAGCUGCCAAGAGCAGUCUUGCUGGAGUUACUGCUAUCAUUAUUGGAAAUUACUCAAUGAGUUCUUCCAGAAACAAAAUGGGAGUGUAGAAGACUUAAAUUCAGAUAACAAAGUGUCCACA